UAAAUGUCACCCACAGUCGCAGCCCAGACUUCCGUGUAGUUUGUGGGAUCAAUGGCUGUGCCAAAGAAUAUCGGGUGUACAAUUCAUUUUGGUACCACAUUAAACGAUGUCAUGGGGAACACCUGACAGCAAGUAGCAGGGCUGCUAGCAGACAAGCAUGCCAUGCAGGGAGACCUCCUGAAUUGGAGACAAGAGAUCGCACGACAGUGGAACCCCUACUCGGUGACUCAAUGGUAGAGCAUUUUGGCACUUUUGAUACCACCAGGAGCAUGUACUCUGGCUUUCUCGAUGAGACGAUCUCAAGGUCACCUCAGCAUUUACAGAGAGCUGCCUCAGUUAUCGACUCAACUAGCCCAUGUGAGGAUUCUCUUGUCUUUCCCAACGCUGACGACUCUUCUAUAUCUUGCCACUCUGAGGAAGAAUCACCCCAUGCAGCUCUCACCAGGCAGGCUACUGCUAUAGUGAUGUCCGUAAGGGAAAAGCAUCACCUUUCACAGAAUGGUGUGAAUGAAAUGGUGGCAGCAAUGCAGCAGUAUCAAGCCAUGUUACUGACCAGCCUAAAGAGCCAAGUUCAAUCUACACUGCAACAACAUGGAGACAGGGAACUUGAGAU